rnacentral:rRNA from 1 species
CACGUAGGCACCAAGCGUUAUCCGGAUUUAUUGGGCGUAAAGAGCUCGUAGGCGGUUCGGUAAGUCGGGUGUGAAAACUCUGGGCUCAACCCAGAGAGGCCACCCGAUACUGCUGUGACUAGAGUGCGGUAGGGGAGCGGGGAAUUCCUGGUGUAGCGGUGAAAUGCGCAGAUAUCAGGAGGAACACCAGCGGCGAAGGCGGCCAGCUGGGCCGUCCCUGACGCUGAGGCGCGAAGGCGUGGGGAGCGAACGGG